AGCUUUGCGUGGUGUCGCUAUCAUAGCCAAUGAGGUUUAUCCGAGGCAUGAUUAUUGCUAAUUGAAACUUUAGAAAAAAAGAAGGCUUGGAGACUAUCUGGAGUGACGAAGCCAGAGGUGAACUCUGAAGCCACUAACCAGGCAGAGCAAGUG
rnacentral:snRNA from 1 species